AUGGAGAUGCAAUGCCACUGUGUGUGAAGUCAUGUAACAGGGGAUGAAAAUGGCCGCAAUACGCAAUGUAUUCCUUUUGUCUCUAUUUGUUUCCAAGACUGUGACGUACACCCAACUUGUCAAUUCCAACACAAAAGCUGUAAGCAGUUCAACCUACCAAGAUUACGUGGCAUCACGAGCUGUGGACGGUAAUACCGAUCAGGACAUGUCACGUUGCUUUCAUAGUGAUUACAGGAGAGAUAUUACAGAGGCGUGGUCACUCUCUCCGUGUGUCCAAUGGUACCACUGUACCACCACCAGAGUCCUCAUGUUACAAUGACCCAGGGAUCGUCAUACUACCCAUCAUUAUAGAGGAGGACUGUGAGAGAACAGCUCAGUACAUCUGGAUUUAUCAAUCCAAUAAUCCAGAUUACGACAGGUGUCCAAUGUUUGCAAUAUGUGAAGUUCAGGUUUUUGGUAUGUCACAGAUUUUAUACCAUGCUGAUAUGUUGAUACAAUCAUCAAUUACAUCAAAGCACAUACAUGUUAGCAUUCACAAGUAAAGAAACAGAUAAAUAAGGCGUGGGUUAUAUAUCUUCAAACUGGCAUUAUCAAUUUUAGAGUUAUAACAUAUGGUUUUCCGUAGUAUAAUGCUAGUAUUUAUUAUUUUUUCAUCAAAUGAUAACACCGGGUGUUCAUUUACUUUAGAGUUAAUAAACAAUGAAUAAUUUAACAACCAAACUGUUUAAAAAGAUGCAUUAUAUAGGAUGUGAGACUGGACAUUAUGGAGAGGACUGCUCAAAGAAAUGUAACCACUGUAAUAACAACGCUACUUGUGGUAUACAGAAUGGAGAAUGUGAUGAUAAUGGGUGUGCUAGCCCUGGAUACCAGCCUCCGCUUUGUAAAGAAUGUUAUACUGGAUUUUAUGGUGAGGACUGCUCCAAAAAAUGUGACCAUUGUAAAAACAAUGCUUCUUGUGAAAAACAGUAUGGGGAAUGUGAUAUCCUUGGCUGUGCUUACGCUGGUUAUCAGCCUCCUCUAUGUAAAGGUUGUAUUCUUGGGAUGUACGGUCUUCAUUGUGAGAGGAACUGUAGCCGAUACUGUAGGUUCGUUGACUGUGACAGAAAAACGGGCACCUGCUUAGAUGGCUGUAAGAGUGGAUACAUCGGGAGUUUCUGCAACCAAACUUGUCCUAUUGGUAAAUACGGACCAAACUGCAGAGAAAUAUGUGGACAUUGUUACAACAACUCAGACUGUUACCAUGGUAACGGGACAUGUCUGGAGGGAUGUGAUCCCGGUUAUUGGAACCAUGAAUGUAAAACACCGACGGCAGAUAUGGUCAGAAUUGUCAGUACACAUGCAGCGGAAACUGUGUGAAUGGAGAGGCGUGUGAUAAAACAAACGGAAGUUGUAGGUCCUGUGUCGAUGGAUUCCAGGGAUCUAAAUGUGACAGAGAUAUUCGCCAGUCACCAACAGAUUUAAAGAAGAAAAUGGACAUAGAUUAUCUGAAGAUGGAAAGAAUGAUGCUAGAAAAUCAGAAAACAGAAAAAGAAAUCAAGAGGCUAGAGGCAGAAGCAGAAGUUCUACGUGUGAGAAAGAACGUUUUAUUAAGAUUGCAAGGGAUAUUAAGCGAACUCUCUGAAGUUGUUGUUCAGUUGCUAAAUGACAGUAAAAUUUGACCGGUUUAUAUCUUUCAUACUAAAUUUAUUACAUUAGUUAAUUUUGUCUGUUUACGCGUCUGUUAAUGCAGGAUAUGACAUGUUAUGAUUUAAAAGAGUUUAAUUCACUAUAAUGGCAGAUCAAGUAGUGAAAACGAAUCAAUGCAUUUAUUGCUACUCAAUUUAUCUCCAAAAUAUGUAUUUCAGAGCCCUUGCAUUUGAUAUUCACCACUAAAAUCAACUUAUUACGCAGAUUGAAAUGAGUGACCAUUUUUCGUUAAAAUGUAAAGGAUUUCUUAAAGAACUUAUUUGUUAUUAGGAGCUGCUGAUUAGUAUGGUCUUGAACACACACAAUUCGAUCCCUCGCAUGGCUGGGUAUCACGGCUUGAUAGAUUUUGUCAUUCUUCGCAUUCUAUUUUUGUCAUUUAUCUUAUUUACAAGAAUAAAAAGUCAAACGACUCAUCAAU
rnacentral:misc_RNA from 1 species